UCCCUUGCUCCACACCGAAACUUCAUUGUUUCUUCCUUUAAUUCCUUCAUUUCCUUUUCAUCACCAAAGCACUCUUCAUUAUUCUCUUAUAUUUUUCUUUAGCUUUUUUUUAAGAUCCAUCUGAUUUCAAUGGCAGCUCUUGCGCCUACCCCUCUUUCGAAGCACCCUUUAUCAAGUUCACCGAAGGUCUUUGAUUCCAGGGUCCAAAGUGGGGAGAUUCAACCGACCCAGUUCAUAUUUCGGGCUUAUUUCAGGUUAGGGAUUGUUUUGAUCGAUUCCCCAUUGUUCAAAAUCCCAUAUUUGUUGUGGUUUCUCGGAGAUUUAUAGCUCUGAAUGCGCUUAAUCUUGUUCAAUGUUCAUAGGCUGGGCAUGUUUGUUGGGAUGACAAUGAUGUAAUAAAUGGAAAACCAACUGGAGCGGUUAGAGUAUCUAUUGGUUACAUGUCAACUUAUGAAGAUGCUAAGAAACUUAUUGAUUUUAUGAGAAUUUCCUUUGUAUCCAUACCAAGUGAGUUCGAGAAAGGGAACCUGCUCAGAUCAAAGUCAAUUCCAUACCAAAAUUGAAGGUUGUUCAGGGUUUUGGUUCAUUU